rnacentral:rRNA from 1 species
UACGGAGGGUGCAAGCGUUAUCCGGAUUCACUGGGUUUAAAGGGUGUGUAGGCGGGUAUUUAAGUCAGUGGUGAAAUCUCCGGGCUCAACCCGGAAACUGCCAUUGAUACUAUUUAUCUUGAAUACUGUUGAGGUAGGCGGAAUAUAUCAUGUAGCGGUGAAAUGCAUAGAUAUGAUAUAGAACACCGAUUGCGAAGGCAGCUUACUAAACAGUUAUUGACGCUGAGGCACGAAAGCGUGGGGAUCAAACAGG